rnacentral:lncRNA from 1 species
AGGGAGUGGGAGAGAUUUGCCCAGGGACUGAGUGGGUGUGUGCUCGUGCUUCUGAGUUUGGCAUGAGACCACCAGUGGCGCCGGUCAGGCCAGGGAGGCCUAGUCUUGCAUCACACUCUCCGCCUAGGCUAGGCAAGUGGUGGGCAGCCAGGUAUCUGCCACAGCCGGAGACGCCUACAAGGCUGGAAGUGGGUGUAAUGGCAGUACAGGAAGCUCUCAUGGUGAAUAUCCUGGCAAGGAGACAGCAGUUAGGCUGGAGGAGGACUCAGCUCAUUCAAACACCACCUGCUGACUGGAUGCGGCGGAUUAUGCCUGUAAUCCCAGCACUUUGGGAAG